CAGCUAUGGUAUGGGCAUAAUCUGAGCAUAUUUUUAAAUCUAUCCCAUGCUUCACAAAGAGAUUCAUUAUCAGUUUGUCUAAAGCUAGCAAUUAAAUUUUGAAUUG